rnacentral:lncRNA from 1 species
AUGGUCGAGGUUAUAUGUGUGUCUCCACAGAUCGUGGUCCAGGGCGCAGGGGCGUAUGACCCACGUAAUUGGUCAGCAUGGACGAAUGUUACCCCCACCGCAGGAUACUAUACCUAUCAGGGAAGGAACCCCUUUUGCGGCACCAAUGAUUCGGCUAAAUACCAUAAUGAGGUACCUGUCCUGGUUCCCACGGCCCUCGGGGCCUACGGGGGAGGCUGGUCCGGACAGGGGCCUCACGUAUGGAACAAUGAUACCCCGAAGGCCUUGCCACCAGAUGUCUUUUUGAUAUGUGGUGACAGGGCCUGGCAGGGAAUUCCAAAAAACGUAAUGGGUGGCCCAUGUUAUCUUGGCAAAUUGACACUGCUGGCGCCAGAUAAAAAUUGGUGGAAAAAUAUAACAGGGAACAAGGCCGCCACCUGUAGUAAAUGGGCGGCCACAGGGCUUUCACCAAAUUGUAAUGAUAAGGUUACCCUACUCAGUCCUACUGAAAGAGUGUUUUUGUCUCUCUUCGUGCCUGGGGCAGCAGCAGGUAACACCUUAAACCAAAUAGGACGAUUGGCUUGUUGGGCAGAGAAGCAAGCUAACGUCACCACUGAGGUAAUAGAGAGCCUGUUAGAGGACCAAAGUAGUCUGCGUCAUGCCGUUCUGCAAAAUAGGGCUGCAAUUGAUUUUUUGUUAUUAGCUCAAGGUCAUGGUUGUGAGGAUUUUGAAGGUAUGUGYUGCAUGAAUUUGUCUGAUCAUAGUGAAUCCAUUCACAAACAAUUGCAGUGGUUGAAGGAGCAUGCAAGUAAAAUCCGUCAGAACCAUGGGCYRUUAGAYGAAUGGCUAACUAACCURUUUGGAAAYCUACCACAGUGGCUAAUAGRGUUGCUUACUGAAGGCUUAYGCAUMUUAAURAUCCUUGUAGUYAUAGGUUUGUGUUUAUGUGUAGUAUUAAGCUGUGUUAAGAAAGCUCUGCUGAAAGUAGUGAACCAAGCCUGGAUUGCUCAAAAACAAGAAGGGGGAAUUGUGGAAGAAUGGUUAAGUGAAAAGGGGCAUGAUCUCUUAGAAGUGAGCAAUCCUGUCUUCACGAUGGAGGGAGGAUCCCACAGCUAUGCGAGCUGUCCUUGA